CCUACGGGAGGCAGCAGUGGGGAAUAUUGCGCAAUGGGCGAAAGCCUGACGCAGCGACGCCGCGUGAGGGAUGAAGGUCUUCGGAUCGUAAACCUCUGUCAGCAGGGAAGAACGGUCACGGUGCUAAGCAGCAGUGAAUUGACGGUACCUGCAAAGGAAGCACCGGCUAACUCCGUGCCAGCAGCCGCGGUAAGACGGAGGGUGCGAGCGUUAAGCGGAAUUACUGGGCGUAAAGCGCUCGGAGGCGGGAUGUCAAGGCAAGGGUGAAAUCCCCGCGCUCAACGUGGGAACUGCCUUUGAAACUGGCAAUCUGGAGUGUGUGAGAGGUUAGUGGACUUCCAGGUGU
rnacentral:rRNA from 1 species